rnacentral:rRNA from 1 species
GAGUAACACGUGGGGAUCUGCCCAAUGGUACGGAAUAAUUCCGGGAAACUGGGACUAAUACCGUAUGUGCCCGCAAGGGGAAAGAUUUAUCGCCAUUGGAUGAACCCGCGUCGGAUUAACUAGUUGGUGAGGUAAAGGCUCACCAAGGCGACGAUCCGUAGCUGGUCUGAGAGGAUGAUCAGCCACACUGGGACUGAGACACGGCCCAGACUCCUACGGGAGGCAGCAGUGGGGAAUAUUGGACAAUGGGCGCAAGCCUGAUCCAUCCAUGCCGCGUGAGUGAUGAAGGCCUUAGGUUGUAAAGCUCUUUCGCCGACGAAGAUAAUGACGGUAGUCGGAGAAGAAGCCCCGGCUAACUUCGUGCCAGCAGCCGCGGUAAUACGAACGGGGCUAGCGUUGUUCGGAAUCACUGGGCGUAAAGCGCACGUACGCGGACAUUUAAGUCA